GAUGAACGCUGGCGGCGUGCCUAAUACAUGCAAGUCGAGCGAACGGACGAGAAGCUUGCUUCUCUGAUGUUAGCGGCGGACGGGUGAGUAACACGUGGAUAACCUACCUAUAAGACUGGGAUAACUUCGGGAAACCGGAGCUAAUACCGGAUGAUAUUUUGAACCGCAUGGUUCAAAAGUGAAAGACGGUCUUGCUGUCACUUAUAGAUGGAUCCGCGCUGCAUUAGCUAGUUGGUAAGGUAACGGCUUACCAAGGCAACGAUGCAUAGCUGACCUGAGAGGGUGAUCGGCCACACUGGAACUGAGACACGGUCCAGACUCCUACGGGAGGCAGCAGUGGGGAAUCUUCCGCAAUGGGCGAAAGCCUGACGGAGCAACGCCGCGUGAGUGAUGAAGGUCUUCGGAUCGUAAAGCUCUGUUAUUAGGAAAGAACAGAUGUGUAAUUAACUGUGGACGUCUUGACGGUACCUAAUCAGAAAGCCACGGCUAACUUCGUG
rnacentral:rRNA from 1 species